rnacentral:lncRNA from 1 species
CACUAUCAGGGCCAUGCUGCCUGGCUUCCUUUAUCUGCUCUAGCAAGAAAGCAUGCAUGAAGAAGAGCGGUCAGGAGACACCUGGUGAGUGGCUGAAGAUCAUAUCUGCACAACACAGAGACAUAACAAGAAGGAAAGACAUUACACUUUCUAGACCAUAUUUCCACACUGAGGGACAGGACCCUGCAGAGCUCCCCUAUCUCCAGCAGCUUCCUGUCAUGAGUAGUGAAGACCGAGAAUCCAGGAAUGUGUCUACUGUAAUCCUAAGAAAUCUGCAUUUGGGAGGGGCUGACAUUUUGUUUUAUCUGGUUCAUUCUUUAAAUAUUAUCUCCAAUUUCCAUGUCUGGCUUACAGCAUGUAAAGACAGACAUUAAACAUCUGAGAGACAACCCAGAUCAGAGGCAUCCAGAUUUUGAUGUGUAAAAGAUGAACUGUUAUAAAAACCAAUAUCAGUGCAGGAUGUUACUGUAAUUGUGGUGGCACUUUCAGUAAUCAGAAUGGACUUGAGAAAUGCCAGUAUAGAAAUGUAGGCAGGGGGAUCCCUCUUUGCCAUGCUCUGGGAAGGCUCUAGAUGACCAGGUUCAUCUGACAUGUCCUUAUGUCUCACUUCCUCCUGCCUCCUCGGUUGGCCCCGAGGCUGGCUGUCCCACAAGCACCCCAAGUGCUCCCUUGGCCUUAGCAGAAGGCCCAUAAAAACACAUUCUUCAAACAGCUUUCAAACAACUGAGAUUAUUUUACUACCUCAGGCUGAAAAUAAAACUGAUGGGAGCUUAGGCUCUUUUUGGUUU